rnacentral:rRNA from 1 species
CAAUGCACGAAAGUGUGACGGGGCUACCCCGAGUGCCGUCCGCUGAGGAUGGCUUUUCUCCGCUGUAAGGAGGCGGAGGAAUAAGGAGAGGGCAAGUCUGGUGUCAGCCGCCGCGGUAAUACCAGCUCUCCGAGUGGUGGGGAUGAUUAUUGGGCUUAAAGCGUCCGUAGCCGGCCUUUCAAGUCUCUCGUUAAAUCCAGCGAUUCAAUCGUUGGACUGCGGGAGAUACUGUUAGGCUAGGGGGCGGGAGAAGCCGACGGUAUUUCCGGGGUAGGGGUAAAAUCCUAUAAUCCCGGGAGGACCACCAGUGGCGAAGGCGGUCGGCUAGCACGCGCCCGACGGUGAGGGACGAAAGCUGGGGGAGCAAACCGGAUUAGAUACCCGGAUAGUCCCAGCUGUAAACGAUGCGGGCUAGGUGUUGGAGCGGCCACGAGCCGCUUCAGUGCCGCAGGGAAGCCAUUAAGCCCGCCGCCUGGGGAGUACGGCCGCAAGGCUGAAACUUAAAGGAAUUGGCGGGGGAGCACCACAAGGGGUGAAGCUUGCGGUUCAAUUGGAGUCAACGCCGGGAAUCUUACCGGGGGCGACAGCAGAAUGAAGGCCAGAUUGAAGG